CCUUUCGCCUCUCUCUCUCUCUCUCUCGAGCGUUUUUAAUUUUUUUUGUUAAUUAAAUUACAAAUAAGUAUUAAUGGCCUUCAUUUGGUACCAAUCAAUCAAGUGAGAGAUGAGUUGUUUAAAUGUUUGAUUUGAGUUGUUUGAAUGUUUUAUUUUACUUGAAUUCGAGUCUCCAACUAGAAGAAAGAGAAAGAUCUGAAUGGGAGCAAGGCAGAACAUGGAACAAACGAGUGCAUGAGAAUUUUAUGUUCAGGGGAUUUGGGGAAAGGGUGACCAAUCAUUUGAAAAAACUCAGGAAAGAAACGUUGCUGACUGUGUACCUGUGACGAUGCAACAUUGAUACGCUUCUGUGUCAAUUUGGCUUCAGUUAUUUGAUGAGAGCAUAUUUUGCACCGCACAUUCUCACUAAACCAGUGUACAUGAGCUGCAGAGGGUUGUUGUUAAAAUACAAAAAGAAAGUUGCAGGAGACUUUUGUUUUUUUUUUUUGUGCUUUUGGGGGCUUUUGUUUGCAAUUUUGGAACCGCUCUCUGCUCAGGCCUAUGAUAGCACUGAGGGUGAAAAGCGUGCUGUUUACAGAGGCAAAACAAGAGACAUCUUCUACUUCAUAUGGGAAGAAGAGGUUAGUUUGAUUGUGAUUGCUUUUAUGAUUUGGUUAAGUUCGAAGUUAGUUGGCUUACGUCUAAUUAGUCGUUUGCAUUGUUUGCACAUGUAGUUGUUUUGUAACUUAGUUGAUUUGGGUUUGUGCAGUUUUUUUUCUCCAUAGUAUGCAUAUUCACUGUUAUUCACCAGAUAUUUAACAAUAUUUUUUUCUUGCAUUUUUUCCCACGCUGAAUUGUGAAACGACAAGCAAUAUAAACAUAUGAAUUUUGUUUCUUCA